UACGUAGGGUGCAAGCGUUUGUCCGGAAUUAUUGGGCGUAAAGAGCUCGUAGGCGGUCUGUUGCGUCGGCUGUGAAAACCCGAGGCUCAACCUCGGGCCUGCAGCCGAUACGGGCAGACUAGAGUUCGGCAGGGGAGACUGGAAUUCCUGGUGUAGCGGUGAAAUGCGCAGAUAUCAGGAGGAACACCGGUGGCGAAGGCGGGUCUCUGGGCCGAGUACUGACGC
rnacentral:rRNA from 1 species